rnacentral:rRNA from 1 species
AUUGAACGCUGGCGGCAGGCCUAACACAUGCAAGUCGAACGAGUGGCGGACGGGUGCGUAAUGUCUGGGAACCUGCCUGAUGGAGGGGGAUAACUACUGGAAACGGUAGCUAAUACCGCAUACCAUCGGAUGUGCCCAGAUGGGAUUAGCUAGUAGGGGGGGUAAAGGCUCACCUAGGCGACGAUCCCUAGCUGGUCUGAGAGGAUGACCAGCCACACUGGAACUGAGACACGGUCCAGGCUCCUACGGGAGGCAGCAGUGGGGAAUAUUGCACAAUGGGCGAAAGCCUGAUGCAGCCAUGACGCGUGUAUGAAGAAGGCCUUCGGGUUGUAAAGUACUUUCAGCGGGGAGGCGUUACCCGCAGAAUAAGCACCGGCUAACUCCGUGCCAGCAGCCGCGGUAAUAC